GAGAGUAGGCGCAGGUGGUUGCGGACUCGCUUUUAAAGUGGGUCUGAGGAAAGUCCGGUCUCCCGAAAGACCAAACCUGCUGGGUAACGCCCAGUGCGAGCGAUCGUGAGGAUAGUGCCACAGAAACAUACCGCCGCUUAAUAGUUAUAAGUGCUAAGUUUUGAGUUAAUUCAAAACUCAAAACUCAAAACUCAAAACUAUUGCGGUAAGGGUGCAAAGGUGCGGUAAGAGCGCACCAGCAGCAUCGAGAGGUGCUGGCUCGGUAAACCCCGGUUGGGAGUAAGGAAGGAACUACGGUUGGUCUUUUACCAGUUCCGUAAAAAACCCGCUAGAGGCGUCUGGUAACAGGCGUCCCAGAUAGAUAACCGCCGCUUUGGUUGUAACUCAACUAAGGUAACAGAACCCGGCUUAUGACCGACUCUCUCCC
rnacentral:RNase_P_RNA from 1 species